rnacentral:lncRNA from 1 species
AUUUUAUUGGGGUUUGUCCACUAAUAUAGGGAGCAUAUGAAGUUUUACUAAAUUAAUUGAUAAAAAAAGAACGAUACUCAUGUACGAUGAAAGAGAAUUUAGAUUAAAUUAAUACAAAUGUAGAAUGUGGUUAAAAAUUUUAAAACAACACUAAAGAUUAUAGGUUUCAGUAUAUUAAUCAUUUACCGAAAAACUUAACACAUAGAUUUUGAGAAAAAUUCAAAAAAUAUGACAAUAUUGUUUUAAUGCAUAGCUGUAUCAUAAAUUAACAUAUGAUGAUGGUUAGAGAGGUUUGGAACUUUUGUUGCCUCCGUUUCUCUAGAAUAACAAUUUUAUUGUGAUUCGUUAAAAAACUUUUGGGAGCAAAUGAAGUUUUACUAAAUUAAUUGAAAAAAUAGAACGAUGCUCAUGUACCAUGUAAGUGAGUUUAGAAUAUAUUAAUACAAAUAUAGAAUGUGGUUAGAAAUUUUAAAACAAAUCUAAAGAUUAUAGGUUUUCAGUAUAUUAACCAUUUACCGAAAAACUGAAUAUUUUGUAGGGGUUAACACAU